CGUUGAAACACGGAUUCUCGUCAGAUCAACAAAGUUAAGCAAAAUAGGGACUGGUCAUUACCUAGAUGGCUGACCGCCUGGGAAUACCAGGUGCUGUAAG